GUUUUCUUCUUCACAGCUGGAGAUUGGUCCAUUGUGGGGCUGCUCUCACUCCCUGAGGGAUGAGAUUUCUUCCUGGGUGUUUCUUCCAAGCCCCAAGCACCUUUUGCUACUGCUUCAAUGGUGAACAUCACACUGUCCAGUGUCUUACAUGGGCUGAGAUCAGAUGGGGUGGCGUCAGUAGGGGAGGACGAGGUGGAGCCGGAGGUAGAGGAUGACGAGGAUGAUGAUGAUGAUGUGGUGAGAGGAAGUUCAGGAGCAUCCGCCUGCUCUUCGUGUUCUGUGAUGUCUCUGCUACUUGAGCUGUGCUGAGCACAGAGUGAGGAGGAACCACCAGAGGGCUGGGAGGAUCGAGCUUCCAUCUUUUCAGCCUCAGAGGCCAAACACAUCUAUAUACACAUAAGAACAUCAGGUUUUAGAAAAAUGACUAACGUGAUGAGUGGGUGAUUGUCAGAUUGCUGCUAUGCAAUUGCUAAAGUGCUUACAGGCCUAAACCAAAAAAUUAACAUUGUAAUUAAUAUUUCAUUGCAUAAAAUAUUAAACCUCAUUUUCAGCA